GCCGUCUGAAAGUCGCCCGCGGCCUGACCCGUGGCCGCGAGUGAGACCCCGGCGCCCACAGACACAGGGGCCUAAAGCUUGUCGCCCACCGCCCUGUCGUGUCGGCGACAAAACCCGGGCCCCGACAGGC
rfam:Ornithorhynchus anatinus H/ACA-box snoRNA Oa2164 gene, complete sequence.